rnacentral:rRNA from 1 species
AGUGAACGCUGGCGGUAGGCCUAACACAUGCAAGUCGAACGGCAGCACAGUAAAAGCUUGCUCUUACGGGUGGCGAGUGGCGGACGGGUGAGGUAUACAUCGGAACCUACUUUUUCGUGGGGGAUAACGUAGGGAAACUUACGCUAAUACCGCAUACCACCUACGGGUGAACGCAGGGGAUAUUCGGACCUUGGGGGGUUGAAUGACUCGAUGUCGGAUUAGCUAGUUGGCGGGGUAAAGGCCGACCAAGGCGACGAUCCGUAGCUGGUCUCAGAGGAUGAUCAGCUAGACUGUAACUGAGACAGGGUCCAGACUCCGGCGGGAGGCAGCAGUGGGGAAUAUUAGGCAAUGGGCGAAAGCGUGAUCCAGCCAUACCGCGUGAGUGAAGAAGGCCUUCGGGUGGUAGAGCCCUUUUGUUGGGAAAGAAAAGCAGCAGGUUAAGACCCCGCUGUUCUGACGGUACCCAAAGAAGAAGCACCGGCUAACUUCGUG